GAGGGUAUAGCUCAGCAGUAGAGCAUGGUUUUAGCAUGCACAAGGUCUGGGUUCAAUCCCCAAUACCUCCA
rnacentral:tRNA from 1 species